rnacentral:misc_RNA from 1 species
UUGUAUACCUGGGUUGGCGUAAGCCUUCCCAAUCUAUGUGUGAACACUGUACUUCUUCCCGGGAGGACGAAGGCUGGCUUCGGCUGGCUGGAGGCCUGCCUGGGGUAUUUUAUGAAUGAAAGCAGGGACUACUCAAAAGCAACAUAUA